CCCUACGGGUGGCAGCAGUGGGGAAUCUUAGACAAUGGGGGAAACCCUGAUCUAGCCAUGCCGCGUGAGCGAUGAAGGCCUUAGGGUUGUAAAGCUCUUUCAGCUGGGAAGAUAAUGACGGUACCAGCAGAAGAAGCCCCGGCUAACUCCGUGCCAGCAGCCGCGGUAAUACGGAGGGGGCUAGCGUUGUUCGGAAUUACUGGGCGUAAAGCGCACGUAGGCGGAUUAUUAAGUCGGGGGUGAAAUCCCGGGGCUCAACCCCGGAACUGCCUUCGAUACUGGUAGUCUUGAGGUCGAGAGAGGUGAGUGGAAUUCCGAGUGUAGAGGUGAAAUUCGUAGAUAUUCGGAGGAACACCAGUGGCGAAGGCGGCUCACUGGCUCGAUACUGACGCUGAGGUGCGAAAGCGUGGGGAGCAAACAGGAUUAGAUACCCGAGUAGUC
rnacentral:rRNA from 1 species